AAUGAACGUUGGCGGCGUGGAUUAGGCAUGCAAGUCGAGCGAGGAAAGUUUGUAGCAAUACGAGCUUAUUCGAGCGGCGUAAGGGGCAGUAAUACCUGGGAACGUACCCUCGGGUCGGGGAUAGCUGCUGGAAACGGCGAGUAAUACCCGAUAACACCGGAAGGUCAAAGGCUUGCCGCCCAAGGUGCGGCCCAGGCGAUAUUAGCUAGUUGGUGAGGUAACGGCUUACCAAGGCUUAGAUGUCUAGCGGGUGUGAGAGCACGACCCGCGCCACUGGCACUGAGACACUGGCCAGACACCUACGGGUGGCUGCAGUCGAGAAUCUUCGGCAAUGAGCGCAAGCUUGACCGAGCGACGCCGCGUGCGGGAUGAAGGCCUUCGGGUUGUAAACCGCUUUGGUCCGAGAGAAAGGGUAAAACUUGAUCGAUCGGAGAAACAAGGACGGGCUAAGUUCGUGCCAGCAGCCGCGGUAAAAC
rnacentral:rRNA from 1 species